rnacentral:rRNA from 1 species
CCUACGGGCGGCAGCAGUGGGGAAUAUUGGACAAUGGGGGGAACCCUGAUCCAGCCAUGCCGCGUGUGUGAAGAAGGCCCUCGGGUUGUAAAGCACUUUCAGUGAGGAAGAACGCCUGGUGGUUAAUACCCAUCAGGAAAGACAUCACUCACAGAAGAAGCACCGGCUAACUCCGUGCCAGCAGCCGCGGUAAUACGGAGGGUGCGAGCGUUAAUCGGAAUUACUGGGCGUAAAGCGCGCGUAGGUGGCUUGAUAAGCCGGUUGUGAAAGCCCCGGGCUCAACCUGGGAACGGCAUCCGGAACUGUCAAGCUAGAGUGCAGGAGAGGAAGGUAGAAUUCCCGGUGUAGCGGUGAAAUGCGUAGAGAUCGGGAGGAAUACCAGUGGCGAAGGCGGCCUUCUGGACUGACACUGACACCGAGGUGCGAAAGCGUGGGUAGCAAACAGGAUUAGAUACCCUAGUAGUC